GAUGAUGUGGCCUAUUGGUUAAGGUAAUGGACUUCUAGUCCAUUGGGCUCUGCCCUCGUGGGUUUGAAUCCCGUCCUCGUCG